rnacentral:lncRNA from 1 species
GAGAAAAGUAUUUUCAGUGGCAUUUUUAAGAAGCCAGCAAAAGCCUUGGAAGGGUCUACAGCUGACGAGGAUAUUGAAGGAAGAUUAUCCAUCAGUGGUGAUGAACUUUCAGAAACGGCCAAGGUACCUUCCUAUAAUCACAAACUUUUGGGUUUGCGUUUGACUCGAUGGUUAAUCUUUUUUAUAAUAUGUAUUUAAUACUCACACGAUAUGUUGCAGGAGAAAACGGGCGGGAUCUCUGGCAUGUUCAAACGCUCCCCCAAACCAGCUCCACGUUCCCUGGUCGCCAAGGACCCGCUCCAAGACACAAAUGAACUUGGCGAGAGUGACGAUGAAAGUCUGGCAGUGAAGGAUACGAAGACUUUACUGUCCGCCAGCAAUGACAGUCUGAACGAGGUUUCCACCACAAAAGAGAGGAUGAGAGCUUUUGGUGGGAUGUUCAAGAAGGCCCCAAAAGCAGUGGAACAACUGGUAGGCACACACACACCCUUGGCAUGUCCCCCAUAAAGAAACACGUUAAAGUCUUAUCAUG